AAACUUUUAAUCCCAUGUCUCCAGCCAUAUCUUUUCUUUUCUAACCAUGUUGAUUGAAUGUUUGAGUAUUCAAAACCUCUCGUGAGUCUGGAUACAAAGUAUCUUCAGUCUUUUUCACAACUUCUAAAUUGAUUUUCCACCAGCCUAUUCUAUUCAAUCUAAUUCUAGAUAGAGUCGGUAGACACUAUUUUAGUAUUUAGUAUAGGUAGUGUAAGAUAAAUAGAAAGUCUUAAUAGAUUUUUGCAUAAUCUCUUCUUCAAUCCUAAGAGCAAAAAUAGAGUGCAGGUAAAACCCAUUCAUUCUCAAGGAAAGACUAAGUCCAUUUCCAAGGUUAUUCUGGCUGUAGCUAAAUUUUUUCAAGAAUCUGACGCUGGGCUUGUUUCAUUCCGUGACAUCUUAGGAGGGAGCUUUACACAGGCUAAGUUCAUUAAUUCCCCUGCAUCAAUGGUCUAAGGGUGUGAAAAAAGCGUUCAUGUCGUAAUCCCAC
rnacentral:lncRNA from 1 species